AUGCAUGUCUAAGUACAGGCCGAUCUAAGGCGAAACCGCGAAUGGCUCAUUAAAUCAGUUGUGGUUCAUUGGAUCUUACCCACCUACCUGGAUAACUGUGGUAAUUCUAGAGCUAAUACAUGCACCCAAGCUCCGACCGCAAGGGAAGAGCGCUUUUAUUAGAUCAAAACCAAUCGGGCCUCGGUCCGCCACACUUGGUGAAUCUGAAUAACUUUGGGCUGAGCGCACGGCCUCCGCGCCGGCGCCGCAUCUUUCAAGUGUCUGCCUUAUCAGCUUUCGAUUGUAGGCUAUGCGCCUACAAUGGCUAUAACGGGUAACGGGGAAUCAGGGUUCGAUUCCGGAGAGGGAGCCUGAGAAACGGCUACCACA
rnacentral:rRNA from 1 species